GGACAGGCGCAGUGGUAACGCGUCGCACUUGUACGCCAACCACUGGAUCAAUCAAUGCGAAGAUCUCUGGUUCAAUUCCAGAUGGAGGCA